GUGCCAGCAGCCGCGGUAAUACGUAGGGUACGAGCGUUGUCCGGAAUUAUUGGGCGUAAAGAGCUCGUAGGUGGUUGGUCACGUCUGCUGUGGAAACGCAACGCUUAACGUUGCGCGUGCAGUGGGUACGGGCUGACUAGAGUGCAGUAGGGGAGUCUGGAAUUCCUGGUGUAGCGGUGAAAUGCGCAGAUAUCAGGAGGAACACCGGUGGCGAAGGCGGGACUCUGGGCUGUAACUGACACUGAGGAGCGAAAGCAUGGGGAGCGAACAGGAUUAGAUACCCUGGUAGUCC
rnacentral:rRNA from 1 species